UUGCAUAAACUCUGGCCUUUGUCAACUCGACAUUCUUAGCCUUCAUUUGCUUUGAAGUUCCAUUUCCUUUGUCAUUCUCAAAUUAGUUCAAUUGCAGAAUUAAUCUAAAAUUAUGGCGGAGGAAAAGAUUGGAAUUGCUAAGGAUGUAACAGAAUUGAUUGGUAAAACUCCUUUGGUUUACCUGAAUAAUAUUGUGGAUGGCUGUGUUGCGCGUGUUGCUGCUAAGCUGGAAAUGAUGGAACCAUGCUCUAGUGUCAAGGAUAGGAUUGGCUAUAGUAUGAUCAAAGAUGCUGAAGAGAAAGGCCUCAUCAAACCUGGUGAGGUCAGUUACUGAGUAUCCUUCUUGUUUGGAUAUUAUUUGAAACCUUCAACGCUUACGGUCAGUUGACCUCGUUUUAUUAGCUUAAUAAUACUCUCUAUUUCCUAGGACAAAUAAACUUAUCAAAAAAUUUGGUUUAUCUUGUAUGAUGAUUGUCAUCAAGGAGCUAUGUUGUCCG